rnacentral:rRNA from 1 species
GACGACCUUUGGCGGCGCGCCUAACACAUGCAAGUCGAACGAGAGAUGAAGAGCUUGCUCUUCAAAUCGAGUGGCGAACGGGUGAGUAACGCGUGAGGAACCUACCUCAAAGAGGGGGACAACAGUUGGAAACGACUGCUAAUACCGCAUAAGCCCACGGCUCGGCAUCGAGCAGAGGGAAAAGGAGUGAUCCGCUUUGAGAUGGCCUCGCGUCCGAUUAGCUGGUUGGUGAGGUAACGGCCCACCAAGGCGACGAUCGGUAGCCGGACUGAGAGGUUGGACGGCCACAUUGGGACUGAGACACGGCCCAGACUCCUACGGGAGGCAGCAGUGGGGAAUAUUGCACAAUGGGGGAAACCCUGAUGCAGCGACGCCGCGUGGAGGAAGAAGGUCUUCGGAUUGUAAACUCCUGUUGUUGAGGAAGAUAAUGACGGUACUCAACAAGGAAGUGACGGCUAACUACGUGCCAGCAGCCGCGGUAAAACGUAGGUCACAAGCGUUGUCCGGGAUUACUGGGUGUAAAGGGAGCGCAGGCGGGAGAACAAGUUGGAAGUGAAAUCCAUGGGCUCAACCCAUGAACUGCUUUCAAAACUGUUUUUCUUGAGUAGUGCAGAGGUAGGCGGAAUUCCCGGUGUAGCGGUGGAAUGCGUAGAUAUCGGGAGGAACACCAGUGGCGAAGGCGGCCUACUGGGCACCAACUGACGCUGAGGCUCGAAAGUGUGGGUAGCAAACAGGAUUAGAUACCCUGGUAGUCCACACCGUAAAC